GGCUCAGAACGAACGCUGGCGGCAAGCUUAACACAUGCAAGUCGAACGGACCGUAUACGCAGCUUGCUGCGUGUAUGGUUAGUGGCAGACGGGUGAGUAAUGCAUAGGAAUCUACCUAGUAGUAUGGGAUAGCCACUAGAAAUGGUGGGUAAUACUGUAUAAUCCCUGCGGGGGAAAGAUUUAUCGCUAUUAGAUGAGCCUAUGUCAGAUUAGCUAGUUGGUGGGGUAAUGGCCUACCAAGGCGGUGAUCUGUAGCUGGUCUGAGAGGAUGAUCAGCCACACUGGAACUGAGACACGGUCCAGACUCCUACGGGAGGCAGCAGUGGGGAAUAUUGGACAAUGGGCGCAAGCCUGAUCCAGCUAUGCCGCGUGAGUGAGGAAGGCCUUAGGGUUGUAAAACUCUUUCAGUAGGGAAGAUAAUGACGGUACCUACAGAAGAAGUC
rnacentral:rRNA from 1 species